AGUAUGGCGGCAUUGAAGAAGACAAAUCGUGAUGGACUUUUCAUGUACAGGGAAGAGGGAAAGUUGAUGAUGAAAAUGAUGGAGUUACUAAUGACAGCAAAAUAACAGAUGAGGAGCUUAUAGCUAUAAAAGACUCUCAUGUAUUUAAUGAGUGGUUAUCAUUAUUCAUUAGUGAUAUUAUUAAGUUGAUCCUAAGAUGAAGAAAGCUGGAUUACUAAGACACACACAAGUUAACAGCAGAAGCAUUGUGGAGAAAAGUA